GUGUGUGUGUGUGUGUGUGUGUGGUUAGACGGUGUGUAUAAGGCCCGGAGGUGGGAGAAUCCGGGUCCAAAGGUUGUCACGCGCGACACCUCGUGGCUGAGAUUAGCAACAGCCGGUAGGCGCGCGUCUCCCCGAUGUUGAAGAAGUUGGGAAGGGUUUGAGAGACGCGACUGAUGGAAAGUUUUCCUGGUUACACAUCCGUAUUAGGAUUCCAAAAACCAACUUCCCAACAACGCCUCAGCUACAAACACGUUAUACCCCCACGAAAAGUAAGACCCUCCGUAUCCAGCGUCAUUCAUGGGGGACACAUAAGGAAUAACAAGACGGUAUUUUAACUGUAGAGGGCGACCAUGCCAAACCGAACAGUGUACAUCUGUACGACUCGUGUUUGCUCGGAGGCCGCGAGGGGGUGAGGAAGAGGAGGAGGGGAUCACUGACUUGCUUCUUCCAGUUUCUCUGGGAGUUUUCCUUGUGGGUUUAGGUUGGUUCAAAGGAAGUUCUAUGGGCGUGUGUGAAGCCCUCUGUGACAUUGCUGGUAAAAAAGGGCUAAACAAAUACAUUUGAUUUGGAAGAGGAAGAUGAUUUCUGGUCAUGUGUCUUGGUCUGGCUGUAACUCCGGCCGGGAGGGAAGAGUGCUGCUGGACAGAGAGACACCGGGGAGACCAGACAGUAACAACACACACACCUCACACUUGCAGCAGCGGCUCACAGACACAGUUGUUAAUGAAGCUGCUCACAUCAUUCCACUGGAGUUCAUCCUGGAGUGUCGUGGUCUGGUUGCCAUGACAGCCAAGGACAGGGUGCCUCGUGCAUUGGUGCAGGUCUCCGUGGUCAACACGCACACACACACACUCACACACCAUUGCUGCACUGAGAUAGCAGAGGGCUCCAGGGACCCCGUGUUUCUAACAGGUGUGUGUUUCCAUGACAACCAGGCAGUUUACUGGGACACCAGAAUGAAGUUGACAGUCUACCACUACAAAGACCCAGCGCACAACACGACAGAACUACAGCACAAGCCCAGGGUUGCUCAGAGUGUGUGUGUGUGCAGCCAUGGUCUUCCCAGACUGUCUCUGCCUACAAGACACCAGGUCCCCUACUGAACAGAGGAUGUUCCUGGGGUUCACUUCCUUCUCCAUCAGAGAUCUGUUUCUCUCCCAGGAACCCAGCAUCUCUCUCAGCCUCAGGACGCAGGAUGGAGUGAGGGAGGUGGGGGAGGUGAAAGUGUCCCGUCUGCAGAUGCAGGAGUUGCAGGACGGAGAGAGGGAAGACACCUCUACUUGCCUGCCUGGACACAAGUGUCCUCUGCUGUGUGAUUGCCUCCAUGGGUCCAUCCAUGACACAGACAACAGCCCUAUGAUGAGAGCUGCGCUGAGGAACACCCUGUGUAAGGUGUACAGGUUCCAGACUGAGGCAGGUGUCUGGAUGCUGUCAGGGAGCAGAUGAGUGAGAGCUCUCUCUCCUUCAGCAUCCCCAAACAACCUGCUGGCUCUGCUCAUACAGCAGCACAUGAAGAGGGUCCAGGAGCUGGAGGACCUCGGUGACCUUUCACCCCAGUGGGAGGGGCUUAUGAGUGAUGUCAUCGCCUACCACAGUCAGCUGAUCACCAGCUACCAGGCUACACUCACCCAGCUGAACACACACACAGCCUCGUCUCCCUGCUUCAAGCCCAGCACCAGCAGGACAGACAGACACCUGCAGUUUGUUCCUGUUAACCUGCACGUUCAGAGGAUGCAGGUGACCAGCCCUGGAAACACAGGUG